rnacentral:sRNA from 1 species
AUGGUUGAAAAAAUCUUUCAAUCAAUUACUAAAAAAAAAAGUAAAUGAAGAAAGCAAUACCUCAUGCAGCAGCUUGUGAUAUGAUCCAAAAACAAAUCGGGACAGCUAAAGGUCUUGGCUGGUACAAGCAAAAACUCGGUCUCCUUGAGCCCAUCCAGCUUCUUUCAGGUACUACAACAUAUUAAAAAGAUUGCACAUGUCAAAAUGACUAUUACCAUAUCCAAAUUUCGAUUGUUUCCUACUUUCCUUUUAUCUUCAACAGUUGUUUCCUUUUUCUUAUUUGAGAACGUUCGAGAAAUCUGGACCGUCUAUUUUCAUCAUAUUGCAACUGUGAGAUCUGAUGGUGAUUAUCU